UUUCCGUAGGUGAACCUGCGGAAGGAUCAUUACAGAGUUCAUGCCCUCACGGGUAGAUCUCCCACCCUUGAAUAUUUAUACCUUAGUUGCUUUGGCAGGCCGUGGAAACACCAUGGGCUCCGGCUUAUGCGUGUCUGCCAGAGGAAACAAACUCUGUUUUUAGUGAUGUCUGAGUACUAUCUAAUAGUUAAAACUUUCAACAACGGAUCUCUUGGUUCUG
rnacentral:misc_RNA from 1 species